GACGAACGCUGGCGGCGUGCCUAACACAUGCAAGUCGAACGGAGAAUUUAUUUAUAAAUUCUUAGUGGCGAACGGGUGAGUAACGCGUAGACAACCUGCCUUUUAGAUGGGGACAACACCGCGAAAGUGGUGCUAAUACCGAAUGUUGUAUUUGGUUCGCAUGAAUUGGAUACUAAAGAUGGCCUCUAUUUAUAAGCUAUCGCUAAAAGAUGGGUCUGCGUCUGAUUAGCUAGUUGGUGAGGUAAUGGCUCACCAAGGCGACGAUCAGUAGCCGGUCGGAGAGGAUGAACGGCAACACUGGGACUGAGACACGGCCCAGACUCCUACGGGAGGCAGCAGUGGGGAAUCUUCCGCAAAGGACGAAAGUCUGACGGAGCAACGCCGCGUGAGUGAGGAAGGUUUUCGGAUCGUAAAACUCUGUUUUCAGGGACGAAUGUGCAGAUUGUGAAUAAUGAUUUGUAAUGACGGUACCUGAGUAGAAAGCCACGGCUAACUACGUGCCAGCAGCCGCGGUAA
rnacentral:rRNA from 1 species